rnacentral:rRNA from 1 species
ACUGAACACUUGUGGCCCGCCUCACACAUGCUAGUCAAACGGAAACGGGCCCAUCUGGAUGCCGACAAGUGGCGACCGGGAUGGGUAAUAUAUCGGAACGUGCCCGGAAUAGGGGGAUAACUGCUCUAGAGAGCCCCUAGUACCGCAUACUACCUGAGGGGGAAAGGCGGGGAUCGCAAGACCUCUCGGUAUUGGAGCGGCCCAUAUCAUUAUUACCUAGUGGGUGGGGUAAAGGCCUACCAAGGCCACCAUCUGUAGGUGAUCUGAGAGGACGACCGGCCGCGCUGGGACUGAGACACGGCCCAGACUCCUACGGGAGGCAGCAGAGAGGAAUUUGGGACAACGGGCGCAAGGCUGAUCCAGGAAUGCCGCGUGCACGAGGAAGGCCUUCGGGUUGCAAACUGCGUUUGGGAUGUAAGAAAUCUUCUGGGCUAAUACCCCGGCACGAUGACUGGACCUGAACAAUAAGCACCGGUUAACUACGUGCCCGCAGCCGCGGUAAUCACCAGGGUGCGAGCGUUAGUCGGAAUUACUGGCCGUAAAGCGUGCGCAUGCCGCUUUGCAAGACAAAUGUGAAAUCCCCGGGCACAACCUGGGAACUGCAUUUGUGACUGCCAGGCUAGAGUACGGUAGAGGGGGAUGGAAUUCCCCGUGUAGCAGUGAAAUGCGUAGAUAUGCGGAGGAACACCAAUGGCGAAGGCAAUCCCCUGGGCCUGUACUGACGCUCAUGCGCGAAAGCGUGGGGAGCAAACAGGAUUAGAUACCCUGGUAGUCCACGCCCUAAACGAUGUCAACUGGUUGUUGGACGGCUUGCUGUUCAGUAACGAAGCUAACGCGUGAAGUUGUCCGCCUGGGGAGUACGGCCGCAAGGGUGAAACUCAAAGGAAUUGACGGGGACCCGCUCAAGCGGUGGAUGAUGUGGUUUAAUUCCAUGCAACGCGAAAAACCUUACCUACCCUUGACAUGUCAAGAAUUCUGCAGAGAUGUGGAAGUGCUCGAAAGAGAACUUGAACACAGGUGUUGCACGGCCGUCGUCAGCUCGUGUCGUGAGAUGUUGGGUUAAGUCCCGCAACGAGCGCAACCCUUGUCAUUAGUUGCUACGCAAGAGCACUCUAAUGACACUGCCGGUGACAAACCGGAGUAAGGUGGGGAUGACGUCAGGUCCUCAUGGCCCUUAUGGGUAGGGCUACACACGUCAUACAAUGGCCGGUACAGAGGGCUGCCAACCCGCGAGGGGGAGCCAAUCCCAGAAAACCGGUAGUAGUCCGGAUCGUAGUCUGCAAUUCGAAGGGGUGAAGUCGGAAUUGUUAGUAAUCGCGGAUCAGCUUGAGGCGGUGAACACGUUUCCGGUUCU